rnacentral:rRNA from 1 species
GACGAACGCUGGCGGCGUGGAUUAGGCAUGCAAGUCGAACGGUAUCAUCCUUUCGGGGGUGAGAGAGUGGCGAACUGGUGAGUAACACGUAGGUUAUCUACCCUCAAGACGGGGACAACCCUGGGAAACUUGGGCUAAUACCGGAUGUGAGCAACUUUUAGUUGUUUGAAAGGUGGCGUAAGCUGUCGCUUGGGGAUGAGCCUGCGUCCUAUUAGUUAGUUGGUGAGGUAACGGCUCACCUAGGCAAUGAUAGGUAGGCGGCCUUAACGGGUGGUCGCCCACACUGGGAUUGAGAUACGGCCCAGACUCCUACGGGAGGCAGCAGUCGAGAAUAGUCUACAAUGGUCGGAAGACUGAUAGUGCGACGCCGCGUGAACGAUGAAUCCCUUCGGGGUGUAAAGUUCUUUUAUAUGUGAGCAGUGCUUCUUAUAUUAACAGUAUGGGGAGAGAGAUAUUAGCAUAUGAAUAAGCAACGGCUAACUCCGUGCCAGCAGCCGCGGUAAA